GGACAGUACAAGGCCACAGGGUGCAAAUGCAGUUCCCAGGGCUGAGCUGGCAGCAGGGAGCACACAGGGCAGAGCAGCAGUGGGACUGGCCCCCAGGGGGCAGCACAGUCCACAGGCACUGAGCACUACCCUUGUGGCUGGGGUGGCCCUCUGUGCCCAAUGGAAGUGCCCCGCCCGUUUCCUGCUGACCCAAAUGGUGGCGGGCGGGGGGGAUUUCCUGUUUGUACAGCGCCCACCAAGCCCAUGUCCGGAGGCAAGGGAGUCCUGAGCACUGGGAUCCUCCCUUGGGGUCCCACCUUCUUCCACCAUCUGGUUGGAAGGGAGGAGGCAGGAAGAGGCCCAGGAAGACCCAGGGUCAUGGCCGGGAUCACAAGCCUCCUGGCACAGCCCGGCUGCAGGGCUCAGGCCUUUGCUUCUCCCUUCCGAGCCCAGCUUCUUGUGCUUCUCUGCUCUUUCCUACCCUCCCCCGAAAACCUGUGUUUGCCACAAAGGCCAUGAUGUAAGCAAACCGCUGUCCAAUCACCAGAAAUAUCUAAGUAAAGGGCACCCUCCCAAAGGAAAUAGGACUCUUCCCACCCUUCACCGGGGAGGGGGGGGGAAGUCUAGACACGGCUCCACCCUGGCCACGCCCCCAACCCUCACUGGGGGAGUCUAGGCGGGGCUCCACCCCUGACCAUGCCUCAGCCAUUCACUGGGGGAGUCUAAGCAGGGCUCCAUUCCUGACCACGUCCCCAACCCUCCCUGGGAGAGUCUAGGCGGGGCUCCAUCCCUGACCAUGCCCCCAACCCUCACUGGGGGUAGUUUGGGCUAGGCUCCAUCCUGACCACGACCUCUAACUGGGGGAAUCUAGGUAGAUCUCAAUCCUGAUCACACCCCCAGCCCUGGGGGUGGAAUUCUAGGCAGGGCUCCACCCUGGUCAUGCCCUUAUCCCCCCCCCAAUUGUUUAGACACUCCUACUAUUUAGUUCAGGCUACCCUUUUAAGUCAUAAUCCUCCUGCCUCAGCUCUAGCUGACUCACCCAGUGUAAUGGGCUUGCUGUCCUCCUGGUCUGAGCCCACUCCUGUCCGGGGACUGCUGCUCUGCUCCGCAUCUGCCAAAAGAGAAAGGGACAAUUAUUGACACGGCAGGGACCUCUGAUCCUAGCUCUGCCAUUUCUGUGCUGUGUGGCCUUCGCGAAUCUGCAGGAGUCACAGCAUGAAUGGACUGGAGGUGGAUGUCACAGGCAGACAGUGACACAAACGACCACCCUCGACCCACCCACAGAAGCUAACGUCAGCCUGGCAGUGCUGUGUCACUUCGCGGAGAGCACUUGACAGUGCUUAAAACACCCGCCAAUCCACUGUUGCAUAAAUAAAAGAGGGGGCCAAACAGAUGAA